CAGUCGCCGCGGGAAAACGAGGGGGGCAAGCGUUGUUCGGAAUGACUGGGCGUAAAGGGCGCGUAGGCGGAUUGUUUAGUUAGGCGUGAAAUUCCUGGGCUUAACCCGGGGACUGCGCUUAAUACAGGCAGUCUAGAGUGAGGAAGAGGGUUGUGGAAUUCCCAGUGUAGAGGUGAAAUUCGUAGAUAUUGGGAAGAACACCGGUGGCGAAGGCGGCAACCUGGUCCUUGACUGACGCUGAGGCGCGAAAGCGUGGGGAGCAAACAGGAUUAGAUACCCCUGUAGUCCCUGUCUCUUAUAC
rnacentral:rRNA from 1 species